UAAUACUUGUAGAGAUCUCUAUAUGGAUUGGAUUUGACAUUGAGGCGUCCCCCAACGAUAAUCACAAUUCAGACUUCAUGAGACGGAUUUGAGUAUCACUGAUCAAUGGAUCAGGUUGUGCCAAGCUCGCUUUCUUUCUAGUGCAAGACAAUAUCGAACCUAAGGGCCUCCCUCAUUUUAGGGAGCCACACGGCCUUGUGACACUAAUUUUGCCACUAUAUGGCGUCACCAUAUCACCAUCCAUGGUGAUGGCAUCAAGACCAACACUUUUUGGUCGCGCCAUGUACUUUUGUAGGACAUCAAUCCUUGCAGACAUAUUUGCAGCAUGUGAUCUCGUCACUUUAACACUAUAAGCAUUUGGGAUCAAGAUGAGACUUAGUGGGGACAAACCACGACAAUUCACGUCGUUCCACUUGAACACUUGUGUUCUUAUCUUCCCCUAACGGCGGGAAUAUUGUCUCAUCAAAGUGACAAUCCGCAAUUUAGCGGUGAAUGAGAUCGCCUGACAAGGUUCCUACAUAUGCGGAUUAUAGGUGGAGGUUCAUAUCCAACCUAAACUUAUUCAUCUCAAAUGACCCAUCAUUGUACGCAGUGGCAAUGCGAUUUGGCACCUAGAAAUAACAUCUAGCCGAGCUCAAGGAUUGGAGAUCCGUUUCAAUCCUGCGAGCUCAAGGAUUGCAAUUUCGUGUCAAUCCUGGUACACAGUCACGAGCUGUAGUACAACAAAAUUCAAUGAUGGUAGGUCGUAGAUGAAUAGUAAAGCUGCAUGCAAAUAUUGCAUAGCCCCAAGACGCGAUAGAAAGAGUGGUGCGCAUCAAUAAUGUUCGAGCGACAAGCUAAAGUUGCUUGGUCGUAGCCUCGGUGAGACCGUAUUGUGUGUGAACAUGGGGUACAGAACACUUCAACUUACAUCCCGAUGAACUUCUUUAAAGAAUGGGUAGUGAGCCCGUAGAAGUAUAAGCAGUAUAAGCAGUAGAAGCAGUAGAUAAUAGUGUAACACGUGACCAGUGUGUUAACACGUCAACCAACACCAUAAAGCAUAAAAAGGUAUCCGCAAGUUGGUUUUAUCUAUCUACAUAGUUUGAUGUAAGAAUAGAAUGUUCACUUUUGUGUUAUUUAGCGUAGGAGGGUCUCACUCCUUAUUUAGCUAAAGAAUAGGGUUUCAAAACGAGCAAUGAGCAUUGCAGGGGGCCAAUGCGACAUCGAGGAAAGGCCGGUGCACCUCAAUUGCUUGAGGAAUUGACCGGACGACCUCCAGGAAGUUGGAGUUGUGUUCGGGUGACGUCAAUGUCCCCCGGGUCACCACCAUGCUUCAUGGUGAUGAUAGAUCUCGAAUGUCUUCGUUUUGAGCGGAAGAAUGGAUGUCCAUGAGAAUUUCUCAAAAUUUGGACCAUUAUAUCUCUUCCAGGUUGACCAAUUUGGUCAAACCAAAGCCUAUAUGAGUCGGUGUCCUAAAUAUCAUGUUUGGCGACAACAUGGGAUUCGAUAUUCGAAUCGUAGUGACAUACAGUUCACUAGAUUGACUCAUGAAUUUCUCCAAGAUGCGCUUCAAUUCGCAUUCAUGAGGAGGUAUACACAAAAGAAUUCUUGUUCAUUCUCACAAUGUGUUUUCAAAUGAAAACCAUUAGCAUGAAUGUCUUUAAAGCUCAACAUGGUUCCUUAGAAUGUUGUGGAUAGUUCCACUGUCUGCGAAGCACUCAAUGUCUCUAUGAGACAUAACUACAAGGAGUAGAUAGGCGAGUAAAUAGUUCUACUUGAACCAUCUAGAAGGAUUGAAAGAAGCUACGAAAAGCUGCAAUCCCGAGAGUGCAUAAAAAUUUCCGCGCAGAAAGACCUUUGCGCACUAAAACAGCCAUAACUUCUUCGUUAAAAUAGAUAUGGACGAACCGUGAAAAGUUCUGAAAACUAGACUCAUAGAGCUUUCCAAUAAUAUAAAGCUCACUGUCUGGUUCGUCCGGAGCUGUUCACAAAGCUCAAACGAAGUUGACUGUCCAGAAGGGACAGAUUGCUGUUUUUCGCAGAUUUGGCAUGUGCGAAGCUGUGAAGCUUGCAGGUGGCGUGUAGGCUUUUGCCUUAGCCAAAAGUGACGUGUGUAUGAUCAAAACCAAGUCCUUUCGAUCGUUCUAAGGUCGUAAACUUCAUGACUAGUUAGCAAAAGCUCCCUGACAUGAACAUAAACUAACUCACAGGACCUAGAGGAUCUGAUCAUGAUGAUAAUUUUCCAGCUUUGAUAAGUCUUCAACAUCUUUUGCAAGACGGAAAUUGGUUUAAUAGCGUAGGGGGAUCCAAAAUCAAAAGCUUUCGGUAACUCCAAGUCAGUAUGACUAGGCAUGUCCGUGGAGGGUCGGUAGUGCGAGACACACUUAAAACCACUAUCUCCUUAAUUUCGGACAAUUCUAAAACAUCACACUGAGCUUGGAUGAGCCUAAUUGAACAAUUGAUGAUAAAAAAUCAGCUAUAGGGUAGAAGACUUAACCGGAAACACGUGGGCGAUCCUCCUUAAGGAUGCAGUGCCAUGAGUCACCUUCAAAGGAAGGGACCAAAAUCGGCACAAUAUGUCAUGUUUCUAAGGGAUGUAAGUGUACAUCUUGAUUGUAAAUCAAUAUGAACCAUAAGAGGAGAAUAGUUUCACUUCGAAAAAAUUCUCAAGGCAUUCAUUAUUGCUGAUGUGAGUACAUCGAGGUCUCAAAUAGACAAAGGACGUCGAUACAACGCCUUAGUACAUAAAGCUUGGAACGAAAAUCAAUGUCUAGCCGAUGACGUCAAAGUCAUGGGUAGCUAGAGCAGGAUCUGAAUCUUUGAUAUUGGCGAUCAUGAGGAUGACGUUCUCGUUCUCAUAUUGAUUUUCCAUACCUUUUUGUAUGCAUUCACAAUUUAAAGGAGUUUGACAAUCUUGAACCAGUGAUCCGAAGAUCCACAACGGUUACAUUAAUGUCAUGAGCUGACGUGAGUAAUUUUGACAAAAUGGUGUCUAGACCGGGAGUGUCGCUAUUAGAGCCGGCAACACCUCCCCCUCUUUUCUAGACAUUGGCACGACGUUUUCUGCCGUUGCCAUGACCCAUAUUGUUGUCCCCACAUUAGGGGAUAAUCUCAAAUAAGUUUAUCACAUUAGCGUAUAUACAAUUCCUGUUUGUAUGAUCAAAAUCAAGUCUCGUUGGUAAUUCCACACCAACUUGGAGGACCUAGAGAACUUGAUGAUGAUCGAAUCCGCUAAAAAUUAUGGAUCAUGAUGCCACAAAAGAUCAUCGACAAUAUGUAGUCAAUUAAGGUGGUAAGCAAUCCACUUAACUAAUAACUCAACAAGUAGAGUUAUAUGAACGUUUCGAGAAACGCUCCAUGAGUGCAUUCCACAGUACUUUGNNNNN
rnacentral:lncRNA from 1 species